GACAGAGGUCCCGAGCGUUAGGCGGAAUCACUGGGCUUAAAGCGUGUGUAGGCGGACUUCUAAGUCCCUUGUGAAAUCCCACGGCUUAACCGUGGAACUGCUUGGUAUACUGGUUGUCUUGGGCCAUCUAGGGGCUACUGGAACAAACGGUGGAGCGGUGAAAUGCGUAGAUAUCGUUUGGAACGCCAAUGGUGAAAACAAGUAGCUGGGGAUGUGCCGACGCUGAGACACGAAAGCCAGGGGAGCGAACGGG
rnacentral:rRNA from 1 species